GGGUUUGCGAUUUGGGGUUGAGUUGUUAAGAGGAUCAGGUUUGUUUUGAUCAAACUUGGGUGUUUUUUGAGGCAAGGGCUUGGAAUUCGAAGAAGAAUUGAGUGAAGAAGUGGUUGGUGUUGGCUUUUGGUUAAUGGGUUGAGAAUACCGGGCGUGAAUAGGGUUAGUGGGUCCUGAUGAAGAAGAGGAGGCACCACCCAAAACUCGACCAUGGCCCUUGAAUUUACCAGAGGAAGACGAUGAUAAUUGUGUAUUCACUUUCUUCAUUAAACCCUUGAACUUGCCUUUCAUGUCAUCCAUUGUUUUGUAUUGAAAGAGUUCAAAUCAAUAGCAGAGAACUAAGAAAUCAGGAAACUACCCAAGAGAAAAGCAUACAGAUUUGUGUGUGAAAUAAUUACUUUGCGAAGCAAUGUUUAGAGAGAAAAAGGUAAGGAAUUCAAGGAUAGUCGACUCAGUCAAUAGUGAAUUGGAGAUUUU
rnacentral:misc_RNA from 1 species